GGAAAUAUGGAAUGAAUUGAUCGUAAAUUAUGAGAUUUUGCUAUUUCUUUCCUUUCUAAGGAAGAUACUAAUCGUAGGGAAAAUGGAAUUUCCACAAUAACUGUAAAUCCCUCUGAGAAAAUUUGAGAAUACAAAUUCUUGUUGUGCCCGAAAAAUGGAUUCUGUUGAUACAUUCGAUGGCUGAAAAAAUCAAAGG